CCCGGUCCUUAUCGAAGCUGCAGCUGCUUCACCAUAGCCAUUGUGGUCAAAGUGGAGCCUGAAGUGACAUUUUUUCCCACCAUCCCCGUUAGGUUUGCCAUAAUUGAUCUGCAACCUUGUGGGGAAAAGACAGCC
rfam:Tupaia chinensis contig9983, whole genome shotgun sequence.